UACGUCGGGUGCAAGCGUUGUCCGGAUUUAUUGGGCGUAAAGAGCGUGUAGGCGGCCAUACAGGUCAGCUGUGAAAACUCGAGGCUCAACCUCGAGACGUCGGUUGAAACCGUAUGGCUAGAGUCCGGAAGAGGAGAGUGGAAUUCCCGGUGUAGCGGUGAAAUGCGCAGAUAUCGGGAAGAACACCUAUGGCGAAGGCAGCUCUCUGGGACGGUACUGACGCUGAGACGCGAAAGCGUGGGGAGCAAACAGG
rnacentral:rRNA from 1 species